UACGUAGGUGGCGAGCGUUGUCCGGAUUUAUUGGGCGUAAAGGGACCGCAGGCGGUCUUUUAAGUCUGAUGUGAAAGCCUUCGGCUUAACCGAAGUAGUGCAUUGGAAACUGGAAGACUUGAGUGCAGAAGAGGAGAGUGGAACUCCAUGUGUAGCGGUGAAAUGCGUAGAUAUAUGGAAGAACACCAGUGGCGAAAGCGGCUCUCUGGUCUGUAACUGACGCUGAGGUUCGAAAGCGUGGGUAGCAAACAGG
rnacentral:rRNA from 1 species